rnacentral:misc_RNA from 1 species
CAANNAUCACCUGGCAAACCNCUUCCAUUUGUGCGUCAAGUCUUGUGUCUUGGUGCAUUGUGGGUUUCCUGUGUUGCCUACCCAAGUGAAGGUAUUGUGAGGAUUGAACCUAGUCCCUUUCGUCUUGUGUUACACUUGUGGUACGAGAUGAACCGUGUGAAGCAGCUUUCUAUGAUCCACAUCAUUGACNUGCAUGUGUUAAUAUUGUGGCCCAUUAANCUCUGCUUGGUCUUGANAAUAUANAANCUAAUGUGGGCACGGGUUCUUCAUUGAAGCCUUGUUUACGGUUCUCUAAAAUGACUUCCCGUCAUGUACUGGCUCGUACCAGCAUGGUGGGUCUUGUCUAAGAGGAAUGCUACCUGGU